UGCAACAACAUUACUUCAACAGAGCUACAUUGUUUUUCCUUAUAGGAUAUGUCAAACGUUGCAGUAUUUAAUCUUUCCAUUUGAAUUGUAUGAUUUUUCAUUUGUAUUGUAUAAUUGUUUAUUGUAUUGCAUACGUUUUCAUUUAUAUUGUAUAUUUUCUGUUCGUAUUAUGCAAUACAAAUGGAAAAGAUCGAAUAUUGCAAAGUUAACCAUACCAUAACAUUGGGGGGAACAGCGAGCGACCACUAUACCUUGCUGUUGAUGGAUACAGACCGUAGCAUUUCCAUGACCGACCUUUUUUGAGGGUUGAUUUCAAGAAACGUUAUUGGCCAUCUCUGUCAUACGUCACGCAUCAAUUAAACUUCCUGUUUCACAGCAUUCCGAAUCUUCCUGAAUCAAGAACAUGGUGUUACAAUUUUGCCUUAUUGUUGUGUUUUGGGCGUGCACCUGUUAUGGUAACAACCUGACCGAAGUCUUCUGGGAUAGAGCAUGGGAGGACUUCAAACAAGUCCAUAACAAAAACUAUUCCCAGGAGGAGGAAAGCACAAGGAAAUGGACUGUUUUCCUAUUCUGGAAGUUUAUAACGCACUCAUCACGAAACGCAUCUAUUAUAUGAAUGAGAUCGCCCAAUAUUUGAACACUGACAGCACCUGCAGCUUCUCAUCUGUGACGUAAUUCGACCCCCUAUUUGUUGUGGACUGGUUCAUUUUUACAAUGUACACACGGUUGUUCAAUUUUUUUUUUACACGUUAUGAGCACAAGAAAUUGAAAUUUUUAUAUUGUAUAUGAGAAUAAUUAUGUAUAAGUAAGAUAAAUUUUCAUUUAGGAAUGAACCGUUUUCACCUUUUACGCGUGCAUCAUGAAACGCUCUUGCUAAGUGAAUGAGAUCACCCAGCUUCUGUUACGGUGACGUCGAGCAAUAUUCCACCUCCUAUUCAUAGAUUGUUUAAUAAUUUUUACUCUUUAUCAACGCUAAUAAAACGCAAUAUCUUUCUU